rnacentral:rRNA from 1 species
GACGAACGCUGGCGGCGGGCUUAACACAUGCAAGUCGAACGGCAAGGCCCUGCUUUUGUGGGGUUCUCGAGUGGCGAACGGGUGCGUAACACGUGAGUAACCUGCCCUUGUCUUUGGUAUAACUUCAGGAAACUUGGGCUACUCUCGUAUCGCAUCCCCCGCUCCAUUGUGGGCGUUGGAUCGUUUCGGCUGUAGGGGUUGGACUCGCGGCUUAUGAGCUUGCUGGUUGGCGAGUGGCUGACCAAGGCUUUGACCGGUAGCCGGCAUGAGAGGGGGAACGGGGACAUGGGGACUGAGAGACGGACCAGACGGGUACGGGAGGCAGCAGGGGGGAACAUGACACAAUGGGAGGAAGUCUGAGGAAAAGACGCCGGGGGCGGGAUGACGGCCUUCGGGUUGUAAACCGCUUUAGCCUGUGACGAAGCGGGAGUGACGGUAAUGGGUAAAGAAGCACCGGCUAACUACGUG